GUGGGAACGUGCCCUUUGGUUCGGAACAACUCAGGGAAACUUGAGCUAAUACCGGAUGUGCCCUUCGGGGGAAAGAUUUAUCGCCAUUGGAGCGGCCCGCGUCUGAUUAGCUAGUUGGUGAGGUAAAGGCUCACCAAGGCGACGAUCAGUAGCUGGUCUGAGAGGAUGAUCAGCCACAUUGGGACUGAGACACGGCCCAAACUCCUACGGGAGGCAGCAGUGGGGAAUCUUGCGCAAUGGGCGAAAGCCUGACGCAGCCAUGCCGCGUGAAUGAUGAAGGUCUUAGGAUUGUAAAAUUCUUUCACCGGGGACGAUAAUGACGGUACCCGGAGAAGAAGCCCCGGCUAACUUCGUGCCAGCAGCCGCGGUAAUACGAAGGGGGCUAGCGUUGCUCGGAAUUACUGGGCGUAAAGGGAGCGUAGGCGGACUGUUAAGUUAGAGGUGAAAGCCCAGGGCUCAACCUUGGAAUUGCCUUUGAUACUGGCAGUCUUGAGUACGGAAGAGGUAUGUGGAACUCCGAGUGUAGAGGUGAAAUUCGUAGAUAUUCGGAAGAACACCAGUGGCGAAGGCGACAUACUGGUCCGUUACUGACGCUGAGGCUCGAAAGCGUGGGGAGCAAACAGGANNNGAUACCCUGGUAGUC
rnacentral:rRNA from 1 species